rnacentral:rRNA from 1 species
AGAUUGAACGCUGGCGGCAUGCCUUACACAUGCAAGUCGAACGGCAGCAUGACGUGUAGCAAUACACGUUGAUGGCGAGUGGCGAACGGGUGAGUAAUAUAUCGGAACGUGUCCUGUAGCGGGGGAUAACCUAUCGAAAGAUGGACUAAUACCGCAUACGCUCUACGGAGGAAAGCGGGGGUCGCAAGACCUCGCACUAUAGGAGCGGCCGAUAUCGGAUUAGCUAGUUGGCGGGGUAAAAGCCCACCAAGGCGACGAUCCGUAGCUGGUCUGAGAGGAUGAUCAGCCACACUGGAACUGAGACACGGUCCAGACUCCUACGGGAGGCAGCAGUGGGGAAUUUUGGACAAGUGGGCGCAAGCCUGAUCCAGCCAUGCCGCGUGAGUGAAGAAGGCCUUGGUGUAAGCUCGUUCGGCAGGAACGAAGUGGUUACGUGUUAAUACCACGACUGAUGACGGUACUAGAAGAAGAAGCACCGCUAACUACG